rnacentral:lncRNA from 1 species
AUGGGGAAACCGAGGCACGGCGCCCCGUUGGGAAACCAGCCCCUUUGCGCCAUCGGCCCAACCGAAUUCUCCGCCACCCUCCUCCUCCUCCUCCUCCUCCUCGGAGGCCCCCGGUUCGCAGAAACCCACGGUGGGGAGAGGGGGGGGGGACAAAAAAAAAAAAAAACGGGGGGGGGGGGGAGCCACAUGGGGACGGUUGGAUGGCCAACGAACGCCCUGCUUGGGUUUUACCCACUUACCGCCCCGCGGGGUGCGGGGGGGACGCGGGCACCUGCCAGCCGGCUGCGCUGCGCCUCGCCUCGGCCCUCGUUAGCGGGAGCCUUGACGAGCCUUGACCCAGUUCCCCGAGCGCCUGGAGGAUUAAUUGGGUCCCGCUCGCGCGGAGCCGCCGGGAGCUGGGGCAGGUGCCAGGCGGCAUUAGCAAAGCAUGAGAGCGCAGCUCGCCGCCGGCACGGCCCACGCAGCACCAGCGAGACGGGGAGAAGGUGGCCGGGGGUGGCACCGGGUGCUCCCGGCUCCCCCGGCCCGCUCGGCCGGCUGCCACCUUCCCCACCGGGGCACCGCGGAUGGCCCAGGGGUGCCCGACCUCCCCCGGGGGGGCCUGACCUCCCCCUGGGCUCCCCAACAUCUCCAGGGAUCGCCGAGCUCUCCAAGGAUCCCCAACAUCCCCCCCAACCUCUCCAAAGAUCCCCAACCUCCCCAGGGAUCCCCAACAUCUCCAGGAAUCCCCAACCUUCCCCUCAACCUCUCCAAGGAUCCCCAACCUCCGCAGGGAUCCCCAACUCUCCAGGGAUCCCCAACAUCCCCCCCAACCUCUCCAAAGAUCCCCAACCUCUCCAGGGCUCCCCAACCUCUCCAGGGAUCCCUGAUCUCCCCAAGGAUCCCCAACAUCUCCCCCAACCUCUCCAAGGAUCCCCAACCUCCCCAGGGGUCCCCAACAUCCCCCUCAACCUCUCCAAGGAUCCCCAGCCUCCCCAGGGAUCCCCAACCUCUCCAGGGAUCCCCAACCUCUCCAGGGAUCCCCAACCUCUCCAAGGAUGCCUGGACCUCCCCAGGGAUCCCUGA